rnacentral:lncRNA from 1 species
UGAUUUUAUUUAGGGCAAAUCUCCAAAAUAGCACAUUUCUAAGUUUAUAUCACAAAAAUAACAUUCAAAAACUAAAAUGACCAAAAUAGCAUCUUUCUAAGUUUAUCCUUUGAAAAUUUUAAUUUUUUUAUUUUUCAAAAUUUGAAAUCUUAUCCCCAAAACCUCAUUUCUCAACUCUCAACUCUAAACCCUAAACCCUAAACCCUAAACCCUAAACCCUAAACCCUAAACUCUAAACCUUAAACCCUAAACUCUAAACCCCACCCUUUAACUCUAAACCCUAAGUUUGUGACUUUUGAUAAAACAUUAAGUGCUAUUUUUGUAACUUUUG